GAAGGUGGGCAAGCGUUGUUCGGUAUUACUGGGGCUUAAAGCGUGUGUAGGGCGGAGAGGUAAGCGUUGCGUGAAAUCCCCCGGGCUUAACCGGGGGAACUGCGCAACGAACUGCUUUUCUUGAGGCAAGUAGGGGUGCAUGGAACUCUUGGUGGAGCGGUGGAAUGCGUAGAUAUCAAGAGGAACGCCAGUGGAGAAAUCGGUGCACUGGGCUUGUUCUGACGCUGAGACACGAAAGCGUGGGGAGCGAACGGGAUUAGAUACCCCGGUAGUCCACGCCGUAAACGAUGCCUACUAGGUUGUGGAAGUUCUGACACUUGCACGGCCGAAGCAAAAGUGCUAAGUAGGCCGCCUGGGGAGUACGGUCGCAAGGCUA
rnacentral:rRNA from 1 species